rnacentral:rRNA from 1 species
CAUGCGAGGUUGGUUGAAUUGGCCUCUGCGGAGACGGGCGGGGAAGGCAGGUAGAGCCGAGGGGAGGGGAGAGUCUACUCGAGUCAGGAGUGAGGUGCAGGCGCAGAGGACGACUGAGGAGGGGGAGCGGGCCAAGGGCCUAGUAGUAGGAGUGGGAGGGUAGGUACCGAAGAGGUUCCCGUCACUAACUAACUAACUAACUAAUCCUCCUCUCCCCUUCUUUGUCUAUGUCUCCCCUCCCGCCUACAGCUACCUCUAGCUCCUCCUCCUGAGGCCGCUCUGCCGCGGCCUCUACCUCCGCGGGCCGCACUCGUGCCACCGGUAGCGCCACUCGCCCUCGUCCUCGUCGUCCGUGCGCGAGUUCACCCGGGAGCUGUUCAAGCACGGGCCGCCCUCCCAGGAGAAGGCCUAGGACGUGCAGGCGGGCGGGUAGUGGUACCACGGGUGAGGGUACCCGUUAAUGGAGGGCCAGAGCGUUCACGCGCUGCUGCAUUGUAGUCGCAUGUCCCUUCUCGACCUUACCGUUCGUUCCUUAUACAACGAGGGUAUGUUCUUCUACACACGAGUCUCUGUCCACCUUCGACUUCGACAAAAUGAACUUAGACUGCUACACGGACGACGAUAUUCGCUCCUUUAGCUGUUUAAGUUGUAACCGUUCGACCAGGACCCGAGAAGCAGCUCUUCGUAUAAGGCUUCCUUCGAGUUUCCUUCGUUCUGACGUUGGUUUUAGAGGCUUACGUAAGGUUCGAAGACAUGCCGUAUGCAGCAGAGUUUCCCGUUUGACAGUAAGCACGCGAGCCGAUGUAGACUACGGACGCUUUGUGGGUUCUGGUAUAGAAGAAGUUGGCAAAGAAGAGGAUCGAGGUUUUCGGAAAGGUCACGCGGGAGUCGUCUCACCCUACUGUCUUUACCUUGUCGUCGACAUAAUAAGGCGGUCAGUAGAGACAGUAGCGUCGCACUAGUGCGUGAGCGUUUAUAUUUGUCCAGCCGGUCGUCCCCUCGAUGGGGAAGUCCGUCACGACCGUCGCUCUAGAGAAUGGUACGACUAUGUUGGGACUUCUGUUUAAGUGUGAGUUAGUGUAGUCAUCGCGUCGAGUCAUCGUCGUCGUCGUCACCCCUAAGUCAAAUGUCCUCGAAGGCUCCUCUAUCGAAGGCUCUAUAGAGACUAGACGUCCGUCGUCAAAGUCUUUGACGUUGUCUGGACUUCGUAAGAGUACUGGUCCUACUAGACUUCGAAGUUUAACUCUCAUACUUCCAGUUUGACGCAGUAGAAGUCUUAGAAGUACUACAAAGAGUCUUACUCGGCCAACUGAGGUGAGUCUUUAAUGGGUUGCUGAACCCGUAGGCCGCACAGCUCCUGCCUUAAUUCGAAUCUCUCUAACUGGACUGUCUUCUCUACCACUUCUCUAACCAUUCUGUUUACCUUUCUCUUCUUCUCGUCCACCGGCUUUCUCUUCGAGUCGGAUUUGUUUCGAGAAGACUUGUCCUGUCAUUACCACUAGUGGUUUUAAGAUCACUGGAGCUUUGUCCUGCCUUUUUAUGACCCGCUACAGAAUGUCUCAUAUUAUCCAUGAGUACCCUCGUAUAGGUCCGUCGCUGAAGUAGUAAAAGUUCGCUAGAACACUAGCCAUUCCCUUGUAUACCCUGGCAGAUGUUCCGAUUCAAAGUCGUAUGUCAACGUCGUCACUUUCAAAACUUGAGGGAACUUCCAAAACCUUGAGUCGUCAAUGUCGUCCUCGACCUCCAGGACCCGUUCUAGGCCGUGGGAGUGGACGACGACGACGACCCGCGCACGGGCCUCGCGCCGACGCACCACAUGCUCAUGUACCUCUUACCGUCGGACCUGCUGCGCGAGUUGGUGGCGGCCUUGCCGUACGGCGGCGAGCGGACCAUGCUGGCGUAGGCCCAGCGGACCCUCCACCGGUGGCGGCAGCGGAAGGAGGUGUCGCGGUCCGGCCUGGGGUAGUAGGUGGCGCUGGAGUUCGGCCGGUUGUAGGACGAGCUGGCCUUGGAGAGGUCGUUCCAGCCGCUACAGCCGGAGAGCUGCCGCGACGAGGUGGUGAGCCCGCGGCCUCCACCUCCUCCGGUCGUCGUCAGGUGCUACCACUCCUUGUGCUGCGGGCACCCGUGCAAGACGAUGUAACUGGGCCUCAUGGUCGCCUGCCCGCGGCACAGCCGGUUCAGUCUGCACAUGCGCGAGCCGCACCAUCACGACGUCGACGAGUGCCCCGCCUGCAGCGGCGAGCCCGAGCGGGUACGGCACCUCUGGCGUGACCUCCUUCUGCCGCCACUGAGGAAGCGCCUCUACGACCUGCGUUGGCGGCCCGUCACCGGCGGUCUCCUCCGAUCCCUCGACCGGCGUGAACGCGACGCCACGCGUCUCUACGCUGCGUCCCUGGCCGGGCCCGACGCGCUCGUGUAGGAGGGCCGCGACCUCGCCUAGUUCCUGUAGCGACGGUCUCGGCGGUCCCUCUGCUUCCGGGAAGAGGCCUGUCGUAGUAGCAGUCGUCGGGGUCCGGUGAAGGAGACGGGGUAAGAAGUCCUUUAGUACCUCCUGGGUACGCAGCGGCGGCUACCCAUGUGGAUGCUGGCCUUCCGCUAGCUCUGUACCCACUCGUACUUCCUGUUCAGCGGGUACUGGUUGGAGGCCGACGGCUCGUUCUCGGAGUAGGGGUUGGUGAGCGAGGCCAGCCGGUAGUACCUUACCUCGAGGUUCUUGUCUACUACUACGUGCGUUACAAUCUAUCUGGAACACGUCUUUAUCAGAACCCUUUAUAUCGAAAACACAACACAACACAACACAUCCAUGUGACUUUACACGUACACUAAGGAGUUUUCUUAUAGUUUUACACUUAUUUGUUUUUUUUACGAGAAUAGUAAACAAAAAUAAACGUAAUUUUACCUUUUGUAGGUGGUCCCUUUGGAUGACAAGAUAAUUUUUGUGUAAACAAAAGGACCCCACAUGACAAAACGUCUGAACAAAGAGUAUAGUCAAGAACGAUUUAGAGUCAGCUGACUCUGGAGCAAUUCAGAGUCAGUUACGAUAUGAGUAUAUCAUGAUGUUAAAUACGGUCAAGUAUUCGUAAAAGGUGUUUGAUAUGAAACUCUAAAACAUGACACAAACCGACCCUCCAUUGGCUUAAACGGUCGACCAAUGAACGAAAACGGGUACAAAGCGUAGUGUGUUCGAAUUCUCGUAAAAGUUUCGUAAAGUCGUAUUCUUUGUAAAGGCUCAGUUCGAAGAUUGUUUAUGAGGGAGUCAGGGUUUUAUAUUCUUGCGAAAAUUGUGAUGUGAUCACAGUUUUUGCAAGAAUAUAAUACUCUGCCUCCCUCAUCAGGUAAUCGAAAUGGCUUGCUAGCAUUAGUGGAAGUUGAGGGGUGGAGGGAGUUCCAGUGUUCUUCUGGAGAAGAGGAGUUCCAGUGUUCUUCUGGAGAAGAGGAAACUGCCUUUGUGACUUUGACCUAAACAAUAACAAGAGAGGGGAACAGAACGUAACGAACAUCGGUAAUGUGUCCGACUACGGACCUGCCGUCGUCAUAACAUAAGGUGCUUUAAACUAACGUGCCGGACGUUCGACUAUAGUAGUCUAUUAGUGAUUUGUUCAUUCGUCAGUUUGGCAUUCUGUCUGCUCAAAAGGUUUACUACGAAUAUUGUUCCUUCGACGACCUCCCCCGUCUCGACUUAAUGGAUACCAAUCGGUCUUGGUACUAGUAGAGGAACGACGAAUAAGAGCCGAAGCUCGGUAAGCAGCGACGGCAGUUAGGUGACUGCGUCUAGACGAUGAUGUCUCUGAGGGUGUACUUGCUCUCGUGGAUGUCUCUCUUGGAACUCGAGGAUAGAUGACGCGAUAAGUCAUCACGGAGUAGGUGUGCUUGGUUGGAGUGGUUCCCGAAGCAGCCUUGACUGGUUCUGGCGUAUAUGCCGCAGCACCACACGGCGCCACUACCGCAGCAGCUACGGACGGGGUCGACGUAGUGGUGUCGUAAGGUCCUACACACCGCCCACACGUGUUUGGUGUUCCUCCGCGUAUAAGAUAUGUUCCUAACGUAGCAGGUGUAGAGACGCUUCCUAGAAUAGAUGCUGAGAUGACAACACGACUUGUCCAACGACCAGAAGUGCCUGUGGUGUUUUGUGUUAUACCUAGGGUUGUAGGGGUCGCUCCACUCUCGGUUCAUGUGGCUACAGUCGUAACUACCGUUGUAGUUCCACGACGAAGUUCUCUGUCGGUUUGUUCGUCGGAUGUUGAGCUGCUACUACAUGCGGUGGCCGGCGUACCUACAGAUGUCGUGUUAGGGCGACGAGAUGAGAGACCGCGUCACGUUGGACCUCAGGACCUGGAUGGCGGUUUACUGACAACCCUAACGGAGCUGUUAUAGUCCUCACGCCGCUUCUCAAAGAAGAUGGUCGUUGCACCACUUACCUAACGACCACACACCACGUUAAAGUCCAUAUCGUGUAUAGUCAAGAUGCUCCCAGUCGGGUACGUCGUAUAGUGGAACAGCCCACGACAUCUAGGUUGUUAUUUGUACGGCCGUGGGUUCGGCCGCGGUCCCGGUCAACUAGAAGGGUCCGUCUUUCUGCUCUGAGGGUCGGUAUUUGUGUUCUCAUUCGUUCUGAUAAAAUAUACAACUUUGUAAGGAAUUUUGUAUUGGUGGAUACAAACACACUUUAGAAAACAAAAUCCCUUAUAUUAUUUCCAAAACUAGUAAUGGUGACAACGCGAAGAUGAUCGUAGUAAAAAGACGAAGUAGCAAACCGAACCUGACCAGUUUUCCGUGUAUUUUCCAAACAAUUCCUUUACGUUG